rnacentral:rRNA from 1 species
UACGUAGGGUGCGAGCGUUAAUCGGAAUUACUGGGCGUAAAGGGCGCGUAGGCGGCCACUGCAAGUCAGUUGUGAAAUCUCCGGGCUUAACCCGGAAAGGUCAACUGAUACUGCAGGGCUAGAGUGCAGAAGGGGCAACUGGAAUUCUCGGUGUAGCGGUGAAAUGCGUAGAUAUCGAGAGGAACACCUGCGGCGAAGGCGGGUUGCUGGGCUGACACUGACGCUGAUGUGCGAAAGCUAGGGGAGCGAACGGG